UGGAAAAAAAUGAACUUUAAAAAUUAAUUAAAAAUAGAAAUAAAUGUUUCCUCGCUCUAAAAUUGCUAUAGUUAUUAUUUAUUUGUACAUAUCUAUCGAAUACAAAAAACCGCGAGUCGAAAUUCGUGCUGCGGUAAUGGAAAGUUGAGCCCUUGUGUCCGAGUCAUAAGUAGAAAUUGAGUGUUUACUGUUGGUAUUUGUCAUCAAUGUGCAUUGUUGGGUGGGACUCAUUGGAACAUACAUUUAAGCAGUUAGGUAAGUUUAACACUUUUUCGAAAUACUUUUGAAGUCUUGCAUUGAAAACUAUCUUUAAUUUCAGAACUAUUUUAUGAGACACAUAUAACCCAGGUUAAGGAAGAAGUGUCUUAACUUUUCGUUUCGUGAACAUAAGAAGAGGCAGAUAAGCAUCAAGAGGCAAGUGAAUAAUGCAACCGAAUAUACAAACAGUUAGGGAUUUAAAUCGUUGAGAGGCUUACAUUCUGAACAUAGCAGCAUCAGUCGAACUAGUGAGACCGAAGAAAGUAAUAGUAAUAGUAGUAAUAGUCGCAUUUAUAUUCAGAAAAGUGUUGACGCUUCGUUUUCUGGAAUGCUACAAACAUAGGUUAAUGGUUUCUCCACUUAUAAUUCCUCGUUUCGAGAAGGUGCCGUCGGGGGUGAGAAGAAGCCGACUAUAAUAGUGCAACACCCUUGAGACAUGAAAAAAAAUAAGAUGAAAACUGUUAUGUAUGUGAAAUAAGAUGAAAACUAUUAUGUAUAUAAAGAAGAAAAUAAAAGAAUAUACAUAACACUAUAAGCUUAAUUGGGUGUUAGAUAUAAAAUCAAUGUAAGUCAAAAGUGUUUUUCUUUUUAUUAUAAAUAUGCUUAGAUUCGUCCUGGAGUUAAAAGAAUUAUGAUAUUUUUAAGUUACCUUAAUUAUUUGAAUGAUGACUGUUGUGUAAAUUAUGAAAUUUAAAAUAGGUGUAGAAAUGUUGUCAAUAAAAUAAUAUUAUAUUUCAAUAAUAUAGGAACACAUCUA